UACGUAGGGAGCGAGCGUUGUCCGAAGUUACUGGGCGUAAAGCGCGCGUAGGCGGGCUGUUAAGUGAGAGGUGAAAGGCUGGGGCUUAACCCCAUGCAGUGCCUCUCAUACUGGCGGUCUUGAGUGCGGCAGGGAGAAGUGGAAUGGCUGGUGUAGCGGUGAAAUGCGCAGAUAUCAGGAAGAACACCAAUGGCGAAAGCAGCUCUCUGGGACGGUACUGACGCUGAGACGCGAAAGCGUGGGGAGCGAACAGG
rnacentral:rRNA from 1 species